rnacentral:sRNA from 1 species
ACUUGGCAUUGGGACUGGCAUUAAAAAUCUGUUUUGCAAACAGGAGCCAGUAUUUUGAUUAGCAGGGAGGAUGCCUGCGAGGGACGGAGGCCAUUGUUCCCUGUGUUAGGCGUUGUUGCUGGUUCAGUUUCUAGGCGAGUGGGGGCUGUCUAGAAGGCUCACCAGGAAGGCAGCUGGGAAACUUGGUCGCCUGCUGGAUGUGGAGCCAGGACCAAAGCUGGCGACUGGGGCUAUUGCAAUGGAUUUCCUUCCAAAGGGAGGUCCUCCCUCUCCCUCCCUUUCCACGGUCGAGGGAGUAGCUCUGUAGCUGGGUUUGCUCUCCUUCUCCUGCUGCCCGCCUCCUGACGCUGAACCCAAAAUGGAAUGAAGAAUUUUAUUUCAGGGUAAAUCCAUCUAAUCACAGACUCCUAUUUGAAGUAUUUGACGAAAAUAGGCUGACACGAGACGACUUCCUGGGCCAGGUGGACGUGCCCCUUAGUCACCUUCCGACAGAAGAUCCAACCAUGGAGCGACCCUAUACAUUUAAGGACUUUCUCCUCAGACCAAGAAGUCAUAAGUCUCGAGUUAAGGGAUUUUUGCGAUUGAAAAUGGCCUAUAUGCCAAAAAAUGGAGGUCAAGAUGAAGAAAA